rnacentral:tRNA from 1 species
UGGUCAGGAUGGCCGAGUGGUCUAAGGCGCCAGACUCAAGUUCUGGUCUUCGAGAGAGGGCGUGGGUUCAAAUCCCACUUCUGACAA